rnacentral:rRNA from 1 species
UACGUAGGGUGCGAGCGUUGUCCGGAUUUAUUGGGCGUAAAGAGCUCGUAGGCGGUCUGUCGCGUCGGAUGUGAAAACCCAGGGCUCAACCCUGGGCCUGCAUUCGAUACGGGCAGACUAGAGUACGGCAGGGGAGACUGGAAUUCCUGGUGUAGCGGUGAAAUGCGCAGAUAUCAGGAGGAACACCGGUGGCGAAGGCGGGUCUCUGGGCCGAAACUGACGCUGAGGAGCGAAAGCGUGGGAGCGAACAGG